rnacentral:rRNA from 1 species
UACGAAGGGGGCUAGCGUUGUUCGGAAUCACUGGGCGUAAAGCGCACGCAGGCGGUUUGAUAAGUCUGGCGUGAAAGCUCCCGGCUAAACCGGGAGAGGUCGUUGGAUACUGGCAGACUAGAGGGUGGUAGAGGCGUGUGGAAUUCCGGGUGUAGUGGUGAAAUGCGUAGAGAUCCGGAGGAACACCAGUGGCGAAGGCGACACGCUGGGCCAUACCUGACGCUAAAGCGCGACAGCAUGGGGAGCAAACGGG